UUUUCUUUUUAAGACUUAAGAUUAGAUUACCCAAGUGAUAAUGCUGACAUGAGUAACGAUAAAGGGUUUAUACCCUCGCCUAAAGCUUAUGGAAUUUACUUAAAGUAACGGCCUCUUAGUUUAAAUUUGCUUUACUUUACUGGGUUAUUUAGCUCUAAUUAAAAACGUGAUAAAGUAAAGUUACCUAAUGGUAUAAACGAUGAGAAAAAUUUUUUUAGAAAAAUUUUUUUAGAAAAAAUUUUUUAGAAAAAAUCUAAGUUUUACGGAAAAUAAGAAUGGAUGCUUAUGGAAACACAUUGAACGCGUAAAGUUGAAAAGUGUAUUAAAGUUUUCUUUAAAGAAAAUAAAAAUAUUUAGUAGGUUUUGACUAAACACACUAUAUAAAUAAAAACAGCGUUUGUGUUAGUAUACUAGAGCUAAGGUACUUGUUAAAAUAGUAACUGGAACUAAGGUGCUAGUGUACUAACUAAAGUGACAAAUGCUCUGGAAAAACGUAAAACUACAUGCUUAAUUAGAGUAUAGACGAGGCGGACCGUCCCUUGUCUAUUAAAAAGCAAAUACCGUACCUAAAAACUAACACCAAGUAAGCGAGUUCA
rnacentral:rRNA from 1 species